rnacentral:rRNA from 1 species
GAAAAGAACUUUGAAGAGAGAGUUCANGAGUUCNUGAAACCNUUCAGGGGUAAACCUGAGAAACCCAAAAGAUCGAAUGGGGAGAUUCAUCGACGACGAAGCUGGCUCCCGUUGGCGUGCGAUUCCCCCGUUGGGACCUCGGUUCCAGAACGCGGGGUACACCCCUUCGGCGAAUAACCGGCGACGUAGUCGUGCACUUCUCCCUUAGUAGAACGUCGCGACCCGUUGUGUGUCGGUCUACGGCCCGGGCUAUUUGCCUGUCGCGGUGGCAUUCGUUCGCUCGCGGCAGAGGCUCGGUCGCCCGGCCGGCUGCACGACGGUACUCCGACGGUAUCGGGCCGCAACCAAUCCAUUCUCGAAUGGUAUAUGCGUCCAGGCCCGUCGCAAGCUCGGACAGCACCCGGAGCGUGUGGACGCAGCGCCCUCCCCGGGUCUGGCCAGCUGUUAGCAGACGGUGUCCUCGGACCGGCCAAGCUUCGAAUUACCGGUCAGCGACGCUAUUGCUUUGGGUACUCUCAGGACCCGUCUUGAAACACGGACCAAGGAGUCUAACAUGUGCGCGAGUCAUUGGGACAUUGAAACCUAAAGGCGAAAUGAAAGUGAAAGUCGUCGUAAGCGUCGACCAAGGGAGGAUGGGCCGCGUCACGUCGCGGCCUCGCACUCCCGGGGCGUCUCGUUCUCGUUGAGAAGAGGCGCACCCAGAGCGUACACCGUU